UGUUUGGAGAGUUUGAUCCUGGCUCAGGACGAACGCUGGCGGCGUGCUUAACACAUGCAAGUCGAACGGAAAGGUCUCUUCGGAGAUACUCGAGUGGCGAACGGGUGAGUAACACGUGGGUAAUCUGCCCUGCACAUCGGGAUAAGCCUGGGAAACUGGGUCUAAUACCGGAUAGGACCACGAGGCGCAUGCCUUUGUGGUGGAAAGCUUUUGCGGUGUGGGAUGGGCCCGCGGCCUAUCAGCUUGUUGGUGGGGUGACGGCCUACCAAGGCGACGACGGGUAGCCGGCCUGAGAGGGUGUCCGGCCACACUGGGACUGAGAUACGGCCCAGACUCCUACGGGAGGCAGCAGUGGGGAAUAUUGCACAAUGGGCGCAAGCCUGAUGCAGCGA
rnacentral:rRNA from 1 species